rnacentral:sRNA from 1 species
UGGCGCAGGUGAAAGGCCCGUCCCGAGGCCU